rnacentral:rRNA from 1 species
CGGCCGCGUCGACGCUGGCGGCGUGCUUAACACAUGCAAGUCGAACGAUGAAGCCCAGCUUGCUGGGUGGAUUAGUGGCGAACGGGUGAGUAACACGUGAGUAACCUGCCCUUCAGUGGGGGAUAACAUCCGGAAACGGAUGCUAAUACCGCAUAGGUUCUCUUUCCACAUGGAAAGAGAAGGAAAGACGGCCUUUGUGCUGUCGCUGAGGGAUGGACCCGCGGCGUAUUAGUUAGUUGGUGGGGUAAAGGCCUACCAAGACCAUGAUACGUAGCCGACCUGAGAGGGUGAUCGGCCACAUUGGGACUGAGACACGGCCCAAACUCCUACGGGAGGCAGCAGUAGGGAAUCUUCCGCAAUGGACGCAAGUCUGACGGAGCAACGCCGCGUGAGUGAAGAAGGUUUCGAUCGUAAAACUCUGUUGUCGGAGAAGAACACGUAA